AUUUUGUUGAUAAAGUGUCAAAUUAGGGUCUGUGCUUGCAGACUACAUCGUACUAGUGCACGUUGACGCUCGAUCCCGAUCAGCUGUAUCGUAUCGUCAUUCGGCGAUUAUGCAUGAUGAUGUAAACUUGGCCGCUUCCACCACGUUGAAAACACCACCAUUCGAUGACGCUUACUCCAAAAAUUUCGGUUAUGUGUAUACAAAACAGGCAGCAGAAACGAUAAAGGAACAGCAUGAAUUGGAUAAAAACACUGCGCUUUGUUUCCCUGAAAACGUUCAUACAGUAACUAUCGAUAGAUGCAAGCAUAUAAUCUUAUGGGAGGAAGCACAACCUAGCCACGGUGGAAAGAUUAAGUAUGAUGGCAUAUCAUUCAUCCACCUCAACAAGAACAUGUAUGAGUGUGAAUAUGCCAAAGAUCACAAGUUGAAAUCCAAGGUGAAAGCUAAGGAAGCAAGAGCUGAAAAGAGGAUGAGAGAACCAGCUAUUGGAAAUGCAUACAAGCCCAGGAACCUUAUAUACAAGAUACUAAAAAGAAAGAUUGCCAGGCAAAGCUAGUCAUGAAGGAAAUCAUGAAAUUUCCAAAUUUUAAGGAGGGGGGUUCGCGUGAACCCUGCGAACCCCUAGUUUGUACAGCCAUGAUGAUGGAGGUACAUGUUGCAGGCUGGACUUUGACUAGCAGAUCAGAGGUCAAUGGAAGACUAUCGUUACCCCCGUCUUCAUCGUGUAGUGCUUCAUCAGAAGAGCCUGGGCAUUAGAUCACACUUCUGUAGGUAGAGCGGCUCAUUUCACCACCAAACAACUGACAAGACAACAAUGACCCGAAAAAAGAAGAGCGCCAGCCGACUUAUCCCAGCUAGUUCAGCUCAUCUCACAAGCAGUCAUCUAGCACUGUGAAGACAGCACUGAGAUAGUUCUCACCACCUGAUGCAGAAAAGGCACAUUGACCAAAGCAGACCAAAGCAAACAUGACAGAUAGCAGAGAAAGAGAAGCAAGUGUCGAACCUGAUGCCUGGGUCUUCAUAAUUCAAGUGUCAUACAGCUUUCAAGAGAGAGGUCAGUGAUUCCAAACAAAGGCUUCUUUCUACAUCAUCGUCACAUGGAUCACACUGUGGAAGAGACAACCUUGAAAACCAGAACAAGAAGGAGAAUAUGAGAUCAUGUUUCUGGAUCUCUGAAAAGAGGUCAGCUUUGUAUGAAGGAUUCCAGGAGGAUUUAUUCUAUUUGAACCCUUUUGGUAUGAUACCUUUCAACCUUAACAGUAGAGAAGAUGGAGUCUGGAUAUAGAUGCAUUGGCUCUGCUUCAUCACAUGCAUGGUGAGACUUUAAUUACACAGUAUAUGUGAGUUCUAACUGAGGAAAGAAAAGGACAGGCAAGGCCAUAAUGACCCCAUAAUCACUGUGUCUCUUUGAGGUAGGUUUCUGCAUUAGAAAAUAGUUGAAACAACUUUGCCAUACAAUACUUUCAUCAUACCCAAUACUGGUAAUGAACAUGGUAAUGGUAUUUAUGGUUGAAAUGUAUAAUAUCUGUUUGGUAAUCCAUUUUAUAUACAUCCACGUGUCCUCAUAAUGUUCAAUUAGAUAGAAGGUAUAGAACUUGCGGUUAUUGUUCAAAGAAAAGUUUGCUGCUAAAGAACUAAAGUGAUAGAAGCCGGAAAAACAAUGAUGCCCUUGAAGAUGUGAAAUGUUUAUGACCAUUUCGUUGUUCACAACUGCAUGCUACUUGGCAUUUUUAAUCAAUAAGAUGUCCUGUAAUAAAAAGCUAAUUACAGCUUACAUCUAACAAGUUUUGAAUUUGUAAGUUCAUGAUAGCUUAACCCACUUCAUGAAAACAAAUUGUAAUUUUGUUAACCCUGUAUGAUUGUACUUACAGUGUUGUGUGCAGUACAUUAAGACAUGGCGUCUUCUGCCAUCUCGUGAGCAUUGAUGGCCUCUGAGUGUCAUCGCUUGGCAUCUGAUAGGCCGCAUUCUAAUUAACACUUCUAUUCUGGUAUGAAGAAGAUAAAAUAUAUAUGUAAAAUGCUAAUGUACAUGCUAUCAGUGACUAAAAGUAACAACUUCUGAAAUCAUCUUAGUAAUAUGUUCAGUAAAAUGAUAAGACUAAAAAGUAAUUUCAAAAUGCAAUAAGUUAUUGAACAUGUAAGACUUUUCCAAAGAUCAUAUUGUAUCAUUUGUAUAUAUAUUCACAUGGGCUGUAUAGAACCGAUAUCUAUUAUCUUUGAUUGAAUACUUAUAAAAUGGGGUGCUAGUUAUUUGUAUGGAAUGAAUGUAUUUUGUAAUCAAGGUGCAUCAUUUGUCCAUGUUCUUUGCCAUCUUAUUAUAUGAACUGUAAUAAGAACUAAAUUUAUAUUUUACUCUUCCAAUCUAUGAUGGGACUAGAUGCUUCGUCUUGCCGUAUUGCAAGCAGCAUUGUGAGUACAAUCAUACAGAGUUAACACAAAUAUGUAUACAUGGUGUGAUAGUUACCAAUGGACGUGAUAAAAACUUGAUGUUGAAUGUAGUGGAUAAUGAUGAUGAUAAUAACAAUAAUGAUAUUAAUAACCAUUAUAAUAACACAAGACAUUAUUGAUAGCUGUAUACACCUCUCUCUGUAUACAUGUACGAUAUUUUUGAUGCAUAACUACAUCUAUGUUUCAUUGUUUUUGUUUUUGUUUUCUGUCAACUCAAAAUUAUUUUA